rnacentral:misc_RNA from 1 species
GUGAAUCAUCGAAUUUUUGAACGCAAAUUGCACUCUCUUCGGUGAGUAUGAGUGUUUGAGGGUGAGCAUAUAAAAAAUCGACAUCGUCGUUGUUUCGCGGUGGUGUUGGUCGGUAAUUGGGUCAUCUUAAAUAUUUUUGGAUUUUAAGUGAUUUAAAAUUUUCUUUUUGGUUUUAUGAACGAUUCUAAGAUUUAUUGCUUUACACGUUUAAGGUAGUGAUUUUUAUUAGACGUGAUUGUCA